rnacentral:rRNA from 1 species
CGUGUUGUGAAAUGUUGGGUUAAGUCCCGCAACGAGCGCAACCCUUGUCCUUAGUUACCAGCACGUAAUGGUGGGCACUCUAAGGAGACUGCCGGUGACAAACCGGAGGAAGGUGGGGAUGACGUCAAGUCAUCAUGGCCCUUACGGCCUGGGCUACACACGUGCUACAAUGGUCGGUACAAAGGGUUGCCAAGCCGCGAGGUGGAGCUAAUCCCAUAAAACCGAUCGUAGUCCGGAUCGCAGUCUGCAACUCGACUGCGUGAAGUCGGAAUCGCUAGUAAUCGUGAAUCAGAAUGUCACGGUGAAUACGUUCCCGGGCCUU